rnacentral:rRNA from 1 species
GUGAGCAACCUGCCCCUGACUCUGGGAUAAGCGCUGGAAACGGCGUCUAAUACUGGAUACGAACAAGAAUCGCAUGGUUACUUGUUGGAAAGAUUUUUUGGUUGGGGAUGGGCUCGCGGCCUAUCAGCUUGUUGGUGAGGUAAUGGCUCACCAAGGCGUCGACGGGUAGCCGGCCUGAGAGGGUGACCGGCCACACUGGGACUGAGACACGGCCCAGACUCCUACGGGAGGCAGCAGUGGGGAAUAUUGCACAAUGGGCGGAAGCCUGAUGCAGCAACGCCGCGUGAGGGAUGACGGCCUUCGGGUUGUAAACCUCUUUUAGCAGGGAAGAAGCGAGAGUGACGGUACCUGCAGAAAAAGCGCCGGCUAACUACGUGCCAGCAGCCGCGGUAAUACGUAGGGCGCAAGCGUUAUCCGGAAUUAUUGGGCGUAAAGAGCUCGUAGGCGGUUUGUCGCGUCUGCUGUGAAAUCCCGAGGCUCAACCUCGGGCCUGCAGUGGGUACGGGCAGACUAGAGUGCGGUAGGGGAGAUUGGAAUUCCUGGUGUAGCGGUGGAAUGCGCAGAUAUCAGGAGGAACACCGAUGGCGAAGGCAGAUCUCUGGGCCGUAACUGACGCUGAGGAGCGAAAGGGUGGGGAGCAAACAGGCUUAGAUACCCUGGUAGUCCACCCCGUAAACGUUGGGAACUAGUUGUGGGGUCCAUUCCACGGAUUCCGUGACGCAGCUAACGCAUUAAGUUCCCCGCCUGGGGAGUACGGCCGCAAGGCUAAAACUCAAAGGAAUUGACGGGGACCCGCACAAGCGGCGGAGCAUGCGGAUUAAUUCGAUGCAACGCGAAGAACCUUACCAAGGCUUGACAUACACCAGAACACCCUGGAAA